CAGGCGGAUACAACUCUGUGUAGGAAUCAAGAUUCAAUGGAGAAUUUAUUGAAUUUUUCUCAGAGUUUCUCUGCUACACAUUUUGAGGGAAAAUCUGCAUUCCAGAACCAUUUUAGCUUCUUUGAAUCCUCCUUUGCUGAAAAGCCAGCUUCAGAAGAAGCAGGUGGUUUUCAUGGAAGAAAUUGGAAAUGACAUCUUUAGUCUCUACUGCAGCAGUUGUUGCACAGAGACAGAGAUACAGAUGAGAGGGCUGUAAAAGAUAGCGUGAGAUCUCAAGAGGAUAUUGUUCAUCCUUUUUUUUUUUUUUUUCCUUCAAUUCUACUCCUUUUUAUCUGUGAUUGUGAAUGCAGUGGGAAACAA